rnacentral:other from 1 species
AACGCAUCAGAUUUCCUGGUGUAACGAAUUUUCAAGUGCUUCUUGCAGUCGCAAGUUUUCAUCCCGACCCACACUGGCGUCGGGAUUU